rnacentral:tRNA from 1 species
UGCGCCCAUAGCUCAGCUGGAUAGAGCGUCUGUCUACGGAACAGAAGGUCAGGGGUUCGAAUCCCUUUGGGCGCACGAU